GGGGUUGUAGAUCAGUGGUAGAUCAGUUGCCUUGCAUGCGUGAGGCACUGGGUUUGAAUCUCAGCACCACA
rnacentral:tRNA from 1 species